GCGCUGGUGGUGAAAUGGCAGACACACUACCUUGAGGUGGUAGCGCCGCGAGGCAUGGGGGUUCAAGUCCCUUCCAGCGCACCA
rnacentral:tRNA from 1 species